CGAACUACCGCUUUCCCCGUAACCAGGGAGACUGCAGUUUGCAGUGAUGUGGCUAAGAUACCCUUGUGCUAUUAAAGGCACAUUUACGUAUCUUUCAACGCAGUUUGUACCUUUGUUUAGGGUUCUAUUGAACUUUCUCUGUGCUCUUUAGAAAACCGUCGAAUAAAGGGAGGUCAUGGACCAAGUACAAAGCGGCAAAAGGAUGGAAUUAAGGGAUAUUUCCAGUGAAAGAAAGAAGAAAGCAUGCUUUUCUCUUGACUGUGCAGAAAAAAAAACUAUGUUUCUUUGAUUCUCCAUUUUACUAGAUGCCAUACCUUUGCAAUUACUUCAUGUGGAGUCUUGACCAAGAUUCAGGAAAUACUAGAACUUUCAGUCCCAGAAGGUUACUCUGGGCAUUACUAGUCCCCAUCAUUAUGAGUUGAGUUUUACUAGUUAAUUUCAGACGAAAAAUAUUUGUUUUUCCCCAAAUUCUGGGGUUACGUACUUUUACUACCUAUGAACUGACAACUGUAUCUUCAGUAAUUACAAUUUCCAACAAAAUGUUAUAGGAAUAAAGAAAAGAUGUUAGUUCAUUAUUCAGAGUUUAUGUUUAUUCCUUUAAUAAAAAGAAAUGGUCUGUAUUUCUUCUUUUCACAUUUAUUUCCUCAGUUCAAACCUGCUUUUCAGG
rnacentral:lncRNA from 10 species